GGUAACGGGGGACGGGGGAUUAGGGUUCGAUUCCGGAAAGGGAGCCUGAAAAACGGCUACCACUUCCAAGGAAGGCAGCAGGCGCGCAAAUUACCCAAUCCUGACCCAGGGAGGUAGGGACAAUAAAUAACAAUACCGGGUUUUUCAAGUCUGGUAAUUGGAAUGAGUACAAUCUAAAUCCCUUAACGAGGAUCAAUUGGAGGGCAAGUCUGGUGCCCGCAGCCCCGGUAAUUCCAGCUCCAAUAGCGUAUAUUUAAGUUGUUGCAGUUAAAAAGCUCGUAGUUGGAUUUCGGAUGGGGCCCGCCGGUCCGCCCAUUCGGGGUGCACCGGCGGCGCCCAUCUUGCUGCCGGGGACGGGCUCCUGGGCUUAAUUGUCCGGGACCCGGAGUCGGCGAGGUUACUUUGAGUAAAUUAGAGUGUUCAAAGCAGGCCUACCCUCUGAAUACAUUAGCAUGGAAUAACC
rnacentral:rRNA from 1 species